GCAUGUUCCAAAUGAUAGUUUCGCGAGCCAGAAGAACCAGCGCAGCACCACACGAUAACGAAACUACUCAAACGCGAAAGCAUGGGCGGCGCAGAGUGGAGAAAAUGAAACCUAUUGACCACCCAUGUCGUUU
rnacentral:lncRNA from 1 species